UACGUAGGGUGCGAGCGUUGUCCGGAAUUAUUGGGCGUAAAGGGCUCGUAGGCGGUCUGUCACGUCGGCUGUGAAAACUCGGGGCUCAACUCCGAGCCUGCAGUCGAUACGGGCAGACUAGAGUUCGGUAGGGGAGACUGGAAUUCCUGGUGUAGCGGUGGAAUGCGCAGAUAUCAGGAGGAACACCGGUGGCGAAGGCGGGUCUCUGGGCAGUAACUGACGCUGAGGAGCGAAAGCGUGGGGAGCGAACAGG
rnacentral:rRNA from 1 species